GCCGACGUGGUGAAAUUGGUAGACACGCCACCUUGAGGGGGUGGUGGGCGCAAGCCCGUGCUAGUUCGAAUCUAGUCGUCGGCACCA
rnacentral:tRNA from 1 species